UACGGAGGGGGUUAGCGUUGUUCGGAAUUACUGGGCGUAAAGCGCACGUAGGCGGACUAGUCAGUCAGAGGUGAAAUCCCAGGGCUCAACCCUGGAACUGCCUUUGAUACUGCUAGUCUUGAGUUCGAGAGAGGUGAGUGGAAUUCCGAGUGUAGAGGUGAAAUUCGUAGAUAUUCGGAGGAACACCAGUGGCGAAGGCGGCUCACUGGCUCGAUACUGACGCUGAGGUGCGAAAGCAUGGGGAGCAAACAGG
rnacentral:rRNA from 1 species